rnacentral:rRNA from 1 species
UACGGAGGGUGCAAGCAUUAAUCGGAUUUAUUGGGCGUAAAGGGCGCGUAGGUGGGCGAGUAAGUUAGAUGUGAAAUCCCGGGGCUCAACCCCGGAACUGCAUUUAAGACUGCUUGUCUUGAGGGUAAACGGAGAAAACGGAAUUCCACAUGUAGCGGUGAAAUGCGUAGAUAUGUGGAAGAACACCAGUGGCGAAGGCGGUUUUCUAGUUUUCACCUGACGCUGAGGCGCGAAAGCAAGGGGAGCAAACAGG